AAUGAACGUUGGCGGCGUGGAUUAGGCAUGCAAGUCGAGCGAGAAUCGUAGCAAUACGAGGACAGCGGCGAAAGGGAGAGGAACACGUGGAUACCUACCCUCAGGUUCAGGAUAGCUAUGGGAAACUAUAGGUAAUACUGAAUAAUAUCUCCGGAUCAAAGGUGUGAUUCCACCUGAGGAGGGGUCCGCGUCCUAUUAGCUAGUUGGUGAGGUAACGGCUCACCAAGGCGAAGAUGGGUACGGGAUGUGAGAGCAUGAUCCCGCUCAUUGGGACUGAGACACUGCCCAGACACCUACUGGUGGCUGCAGUCGAGAAUCUUCGGCAAUGGGGGAAACCCUGACCGAGCGACGCCGCGUGCGAGAUGAAGGCCUUCGGGUUGUAAAUCGCUGUCAGUGGGGAGGAAAUGCUGGUGGGUUCUCCCAUCAGUUUGACCUAUCCGCAGAGGAAGGACGGGCUAAGUUCGUGCCAGCAGCCGCCGUAA
rnacentral:rRNA from 1 species